rnacentral:rRNA from 1 species
UUGAACGCUGGCGGCAUGCCUUACACAUGCAAGUCGAACGGCAUCACGGGAGCAAUCCUGGUGGCGAGUGGCGAACGGGUGAGUAAUGUAUCGGAACGUACCUUUCAGUGGGGGAUAACGUAGCGAAAGUUACGCUAAUACCGCAUAUUCUGUGAGCAGGAAAGCAGGGGAUCGCAAGACCUUGCGCUGAUUGAGCGGCCGAUAUCAGAUUAGCUAGUUGGUGAGGUAAAGGCUCACCAAGGCGACGAUCUGUAGCGGGUCUGAGAGGAUGAUCCGCCACACUGGAACUGAGACACGGUCCAGACUCCUACGGGAGGCAGCAGUGGGGAAUUUUGGACAAUGGGCGCAAGCCUGAUCCAGCCAUGCCGCGUGAGUGAAGAAGGCCUUCGGGUUGUAAAGCUCUUUCAGACGGAAAGAAAUCGGGCGCGUGAAUAGCGUGCCUGGAUGACGGUACUGUCAGAAGAAGCACCGGCUAACUACGU